GACAGAGGGUGCAAACGUUGUUCGGAAUUACUGGGCGUAAAGCGCGUGUAGGCGGCAAGGCAAGUCGGAUGUGAAAGCCCGCGGCUCAACCGUGGAAGUGCACUCGAAACUGCCUAGCUAGAGUCUCGGAGAGGAAGGUGGAAUGCUUGGUGUAGAGGUGAAAUUCGUAGAUAUCAAGCAGAACACCUGUGGCGAAGGCGGCCUUCUGGACGAUGACUGACGCUGAGACGCGAAAGCGUGGGGAGCGAACAGG
rnacentral:rRNA from 1 species